GAAUCUUGCGCAAUGGGCGAAAGCCUGACGCAGCAACGCCGCGUGCGGGAUGACGGCCUUCGGGUUGUAAACCGCUUUCAGUAGGGACGAAAUUGACGGUACCUGCAGAAGAAGCCCCGGCCAACUACGUGCCAGCAGCCGCGGUAAUACGUAGGGGGCAAGCGUUGUCCGGAGUCAUUGGGCGUAAAGAGCUCGUAGGCGGCUUGGCAAGUCGGGUGUGAAAACUUCAGGCUCAACCUGGAGCGGCCACUCGAUACUGCCAUGGCUAGAGUCCGGUAGGGGACCACGGAAUUCCUGGUGUAGCGGUGAAAUGCGCAGAUAUCAGGAGGAACACCGGUGGCGAAGGCGGUGGUCUGGGCCGGAACUGACGCUGAGGAGCGAAAGCGUGGGGAGCGAACAGG
rnacentral:rRNA from 1 species